rnacentral:rRNA from 1 species
UACGUAGGGUGCGAGCGUUAAUCGGAAUUACUGGGCGUAAAGCGUGCGCAGGCGGUGAGCGGUGUCCGAUGUGAAAGCCCCGGGCUUAACCUGGGAAUGGCAUUGGAAACUGGCUCGCUGGAGUGUGGCAGAGGGGGGUGGAAUUCCGCGUGUAGCAGUGAAAUGCGUAGAGAUGCGGAGGAACACCGAUGGCGAAGGCAGCCCCCUGGGCUAACACUGACGCUCAGGCACGAAAGCGUGGGGAGCAAACAGG